ACCUUAGAGACCAAUGAAGUUUGUUAUUGGUAUGAGCUUUCGUGUGCAUGCACACAAGAGCUCAUACCAGUAACAAACUUAGUAGUUCUCUAAGGU